rnacentral:hammerhead_ribozyme from 1 species
AUCCAACUGACGAGUUCCGAAUAGGACGAAAAACGCGCCUGUUGGAU